GAGGUUUACGAAGGAUUUUCGCAUGUGUUUUGUGAUGAAUCGACUCAGAACAAGCUCACUCCGAUCUUCUGGCAGCCGGAGAAAGUGUAUCUGCUUGGAGAGUCUCGGAAUCGGCUUUAGUGACGCUGAACGCUGCUUCAUUAGAAUAAAGGUUUUUAUAUUUGCAACUUGACAAAAUGUGAUUUAUAUUAAAUUUAUUUUAAGUUAAUAGUGUACUGGUUAUAACUAAUAUCAAAUCUUUACUAAUACUUGAUUUCUUUUUAUGAUGGUUGACUUUGCGAGAACUAACGGAGCUUGUGUUCUUAAUAUGUCUGAACUGAAAGUGUUUGAGGCUAUGAUGCAUAAGCUGAGUCUGUCAGGUUACAUAUCUGUUUCUUGUGCUUAAAACACGUGUACAUCAUGCUUUAAAGGUUGUUUAAGUUUAGUGGCAAAUUACUCUUGUUGUGUACUCCGGAUUUUGUGUUCUUAAUCUGUCUGAACUGAAAGUGUUUGAGGCUGUGAUGCGAAAGCUGAGCUUGUGUUCUUAAUCUGUCUGAACUAAAAGUGUUGAGUCUAUGAUGCAUAAGCUGAGCUUGUGUUCUUAAUCUGUCUGAAGUAAAAGUGUUUUGAGGCUGUGAUGCAAAAACUGAGCCUGUGUAAUCUAUCUGAACUGAAAGUGUUUGAGGCUGUGAUGCAAAAACUGAGCCUGUGCAAGGUUCGCUCGGUCCAACAACUCAAGCAAAUGUUUUCUUUGCAUUUUAGGGGGAACAUGUGUGCUUCUCUCCCAGGGCAUACAAAACAUAGGUUAUUGGCGGCAGCU
rnacentral:lncRNA from 1 species